GACGAACGCUGGCGGCGUGCUUAACACAUGCAAGUCGAACGGAAAGGCCCUGCUUUUGUGCUGUGCUCGAGUGGCGAACGGGUGAGUAACACGUGAGUAACCUGCUCUUGUUUUUGGUGUAACUUCAGGAAACUGGGGUUAAUAUAGGAUAGGAGCCCCUGCUGCAUGGAGGGGGGUGGAAAGUUUCGGCGGUGGGGGAUGGAUUCGCGGCUAAUCAGUUUGUUGGUUGGGUAGUGGCUUACCAACGCCUUGACGGGUAGCCGGCCUGAGAGGGUGACCGGCCACAUUGGGACUACGAUACGGCCCAGACGCGUACGGUAGACAGCAGUGGGAAAUAUUGUACAAUCGGCGGAAGCCUGAUGCAGCAACGCCGCGUGCGGGAUGACGGCCUUCGGGUUAUAAACAGCUUUAGCCUGUGACGAAGCGUUAGUGACGGUAAUGAAUAAAGAAGCACCGGCUAACUACGUG
rnacentral:rRNA from 1 species